GGGAUUUCGCUUGACAAGAAGUUUGACGGAUGCGAACGGGUGCCAUAGUGAUUGUUGGUGUCGACGAGAAGCGGGUAGCAUGCUCCGAAUAUCCUGGCGUGACGGAUAACAGCUUUUCAUGGUUUUGGAACGACAACGAAACCAAAGCAAAUCAUGGACCGGCCCAUUUUUCAGUAACCCAGAUUCCCAAUAAACAGUCGUUUAGACCCUCCUUCAUCACGUUAUGCUGUUGCUUUGGGACCAGAUAGCAGUGGAAUAACUAUGCGCUAAAGCCUCCUAACCAUGGAUUUUUGAUGACGAGCAUUAGCACAGUGGAUGGCUUUCAUCUUACUACUCACUUAAAACAAUGCCGAUGAACGCUUUCACAUAGGGUGAGGCUUCGAUGUUGUACCUUCGUCAGACUGCGUCCAGCGUGCCA
rnacentral:misc_RNA from 1 species